AUCUAGUUGACGAGUCUCAAAUGGGACGGAACGCAGGUCCUGGAU
rnacentral:hammerhead_ribozyme from 1 species